AUUGAACGCUGGCGGCAGGCCUAACACAUGCAAGUCGAACGAAGUCUUCGGACUUAGUGGCGGACGGGUGAGUAACACGUGGGAACGUGCCUUUAGGUUCGGAAUAACUCAGGGAAACUUGUGCUAAUACCGAAUGUGCCCUUCGGGGGAAAGAUUUAUCGCCUUUAGAGCGGCCCGCGUCUGAUUAGCUAGUUGGUGAGGUAAAGGCUCACCAAGGCUACGAUCAGUAGCUGGUCUGAGAGGAUGACCAGCCACAUUGGGACUGAGACACGGCCCAAACUCCUACGGGAGGCAGCAGUGGGGAAUCUUGCGCAAUGGGCGAAAGCCUGACGCAGCCAUGCCGCGUGGAUGAUGAAGGUCUUAGGAUUGUAAAAUCCUUUCACCGGUGAAGAUAAUGACUGUAGCCGGAGAAGAAGCCCCGGCUAACUUCGUGCCAGCAGCCGCAGUAA
rnacentral:rRNA from 1 species